UACGGGGGGAGCAAGCGUUGUUCGGAUUUACUGGGCGUAAAGGGCGCGUAGGCGGCCACCGCAAGUCGACUGUGAAAUCUCUGGGCUUAACCCAGAACGGUCAGCCGAUACUGCGGGGCUAGAGUGCAGAAGGGGCAACUGGAAUUCUCGGUGUAGCGGUGAAAUGCGUAGAUAUCGGGAGGAACACCAGUGGCGAAGGCGGCUACCUGGCCCACUCUUGACGCUGAGGCGCGAAAGCUAGGGGAGCAAACGGG
rnacentral:rRNA from 1 species